CCCUAGCCCUGAUAGCAGCGUAAAUCCUUUUAUAAAGCUUUUAGCCUCUAGCUAGAAGCUUUGUAAAAGAUUGCAGCGAAUAGCAGGAUUAGCU
rnacentral:sRNA from 1 species